CACCGAGUACAAUUGAUGAGUGUAGACUUCUCUUUUAAAAAUACAAUUUAUUUAUCAGGCAUGGCAGUGAAUGGGUAUUGGAUAUGCAAUCAAUCUUGAGUGAAGAUUACUAUUAGUCAUCAAAUAUAAGAUCCAGCAUCGGAGAACUUGACAAUAUAUGCUAGUCAUUUUUUGAAUUCCGGUUGCUAUCUGGAAACAAUCAACAAGCCGCAAUUGAUAGUUCUGUUUGUCCUACCAUGUGUUAUACUUACCAUGUGUCUUUAGUACCUUGAUUGCACAGGGGUGUACUCUUCAGAAUUGCCUGUGGGAUGUAUUGUUCAAUUAACACCUAGGUAUACCAUGAAGUCUCGUGGUUCACUCGGGAUUCAACGUGUUAAUGAGCCAGACAAAGACCUAAAGCCAGAGAGGUACACCCUUGUGCACUCAGAGUACUAAGUAGAGACCUAUAAGAAGUAAAUGACCAUCCACACCACCAUUUGACCUGCUUGUCAAUGGUUUCCAGCCAGGUAGUAGGAUAUUUAUUUGUGCACAACAGGACAAAACCAAUAUUAAUCAGGGGUAGAGGUCCCCUAUAGUGCCAUACAGUAUAUAUUUAUACAAUCAUACUUUACCUAUUAUGUGCUCAUAUACUAUCCUACAAAUUUUAGUAUACAUUUAGCAUGCAUCUUCUGCUUUGAAAAGCAUAUUACAAAUAUAACAAGAUAAAAG